UACGUAGGCAGCAAGCGUUGUUCGGAAUUAUUGGGCGUAAAGAGUGUGUAGGCGGUGCUCUAAGUUUGGUGUGAAAUCUCCCGGCUUAACUGGGAGGGUGCGCCGAAAACUGGAGUGCUCGAACGUGGGAGAGGAAAGCGGAAUUCCUGGUGUAGCGGUGAAAUGCGUAGAUAUCAGGAGGAACACCUGCGGUGUAGACGGCUUUCUGGACCAUUGUUGACGCUGAGACACGAAAGCGUGGGUAGCAAACAGG
rnacentral:rRNA from 1 species